UGCGAUCUGUGAUGAAAUGUCGUGAAAUUUAUGAACUUCUUUGAUUAUUAGACCAAAUAAUCACCAUCUUUCGGCUGAGAUCGCC